rnacentral:rRNA from 1 species
UACGAAGGGGGCUAGCGUUGCUCGGAAUUACUGGGCGUAAAGCGCACGUAGGCGGCUUUCUAAGUCGGGGGUGAAAUCCUGGAGCUCAACUCCAGAACUGCCUUCGAUACUGGAAAGCUCGAGUCCGGGAGAGGUGAGUGGAACUGCGAGUGUAGAGGUGAAAUUCGUAGAUAUUCGCAAGAACACCAGUGGCGAAGGCGGCUUACUGGUCCGGAUCUGACGCUGAGGCGCAAAAGCGUGGGGAGCAAACAGG